UACGUAGGUGGCAAGCGUUGUCCGGAUUUACUGGGCGUAAAGAGCGCGCAGGCGGUCGUUCAAGUCGCGUGUGAAAGCCCCCGGCUCAACUGGGGAGGGUCACGCGAUACUGAUCGACUCGAAGGCAGGAGAGGGUAGUGGAAUUCCCGGUGUAGUGGUGAAAUGCGUAGAUAUCGGGAGGAACACCAGUGGCGAAGGCGGCUUGCUGGGCAUGAUCUGACGCUGAGGCGCGAAAGCGUGGGGAGCAACAGG
rnacentral:rRNA from 1 species